GGGGUGUGCUCAGAGCAGGGAGCCGGAAGAAUGGCUUCUCUGUUUACAACACACCCAAGAAGAAUGUGGGACCGUUGCACUGAGGCGCACAAGCACUGUGUCCUCUCUGUGAGCGGAUCCCUUACAUGC